UACAGAGGUCUCAAGCGUUGUUCGGAUUCAUUGGGCGUAAAGGGUGCGUAGGUGGCGCCGUAAGUCAGGUGUGAAAUUUCGGAGCUUAACUCCGAAACUGCAUUUGAUACUGCGGUGCUUGAGGGCUGGAGAGGAGACUGGAAUUCACGGUGUAGCAGUGAAAUGCGUAGAUAUCGUGAGGAAGACCAGUGGCGAAGGCGAGUUCCUGGACAGUUGCUGACGCUGAGGCACGAAGGCCAGGGGAGCAAACGGG
rnacentral:rRNA from 1 species